UGAUGGCUUUGAAGGUAUCUGUGC
rnacentral:piRNA from 1 species